rnacentral:rRNA from 1 species
UACAGAGGUGGCAAGCGUUGUUCGGAAUCACUGGGCGUAAAGCGCAUGUAGGCGGAUGUGUCAGUCAGGGGUGAAAUCCCGGAGCUCAACUUCGGAACUGCCCUUGAUACAGCACGUCUUGAGUCCGGAAGAGGUGGGUGGAAUUCCUAGUGUAGAGGUGAAAUUCGUAGAUAUUAGGAAGAACACCGGUGGCGAAGGCGGGUCUCUGGGCCGUAACUGACGCUGAGGAGCGAAAGCGUGGGGAGCGAACAGG